rnacentral:lncRNA from 1 species
CCACCAACUUUAGGCAAGCAAUGAGGGAAAAAGACUUUUGUUUUGAUGAUGCGCUUUAUUGCUGGAGUUGGCUUUUUCAAAACUAAUCACCAAAAAAGAACCAUGGAAAUAGAGGCAUACUUUUUGUCUGAUACCACAAAUGAAGAAGAAAGAAGGAAUUGGCUGGUUGUCAACUCUUGGUUAAGGACUGGGUCAUAAAAGAGCCCAGCCAAAAUUCUACAGUGAGAAUCACAGCCUCACUGCCAAAUAGUCCAUCAAAAUGUGGGUUCAUUGUAUGGGAACAGUCAACAUCCUUUGAGAAAUGGAAAACUGUGAUCAUCCUUUGGUGUACCUCAAGUUGCCACCUUUGGGUACCCAACAAGGUUCCCAUCAUUAAAAGGAUGUU